GUUUUUGUAGCUUAAAAUAAUAAAGCAUAGCUUUGAAGCAGCUAAGAUAGGAACCCCUCAAAAACA
rnacentral:tRNA from 1 species